GGAAUAUUGCGCAAUGGGCGAAAGCCUGACGCAGCAACGCCGCGUGAGGGAUGAAGGCCUUCGGGUCGUAAACCUCUGUCAGGUGGAAAGAAGGCCUCAGCGGUUAAUAGUCGUUGAAGCUUGACGGUACCACCACAGGAACCCCCGGCUCACUCCGUGCCAGCAGCCGCGGUAAUACGGAGGGGGCAAGCGUUGUGCGGAAUCAUUGGGCGUAAAGGGCGCGUAGGCGGCUUAGUAAGUUGAAGGUGAAAUCCCUCGGCUCAACCGAGGAACUGCCUUCAAAACUGCUUGGCUAGAGUCCGGGAGAGGGCAGUGGAAUUCCCAGUGUAGCGGUGAAAUGCGUAGAUAUUGGGAGGAACACCAGUGGCGAAGGCGACUGCCUGGACCGGAACUGACGCUGAGGCGCGAAAGCGUGGGGAGCAA
rnacentral:rRNA from 1 species